rnacentral:rRNA from 1 species
GACGAACGCUGGCGGCGUGCUUAACACAUGCAAGUCGAACGAAGAGCGAUGGAAGCUUGCUUCUAUCAAUCUUAGUGGCGAACGGGUGAGUAACGCGUAAUCAACCUGCCCUUCAGAGGGGGACAACAGUUGGAAACGACUGCUAAUACCGCAUACGAUCUAAUCUCGGCAUCGAGGAUAGAUGAAAGGUGGCCUCUACAUGUAAGCUAUCACUGAAGGAGGGGAUUGCGUCUGAUUAGCUAGUUGGAGGGGUAACGGCCCACCAAGGCGAUGAUCAGUAGCCGGUCUGAGAGGAUGAACGGCCACAUUGGGACUGAGACACGGCCCAGACUCCUACGGGAGGCAGCAGUGGGGAAUCUUCCGCAAAGGACGAAAGUCUGACGGAGCAACGCCGCGUGAGUGAUGACGGCCUUCGGGUUGUAAAGCUCUGUUAAUCGGGACGAAGGGCCUUCUUGCGAAUAGUGAGAAGGAUUGACGGUACCGGAAUAGAAAGCCACGGCUAACUACGU